rnacentral:rRNA from 1 species
UACGGAGGAUGCGAGCGUUAUCCGGAUUUAUUGGGUUUAAAGGGAGCGUAGGCGGGAGCUUAAGUCAGCGGUUAAAUGGUGCGGCUCAACCGUGCCCUGCCGUUGAAACUGGGUUUCUUGAGAGUGCAAGAGGCGGAUGGAAUUCAUGGUGUAGCGGUGAAGUGCUUAGAUAUCAUGAAGAACUCCGAUUGCGAAGGCAGUCCGCUGGGGCACGUCUGACGCUGAUGCUCGAAGGUGCGGGAAUCAACAG